ACCUGUAAACAAACACAUCAAAGAAGAAGGAGCCGCCCGUCGAUACCUGACUCCCCUCUGUGAGCUUUGAUGCUUCACUGGAAGAUCUCCCACGAUCUGUCAAAGUCCCAGAGUGAACUGGAGGAGGAUUUAAUGGUCAACAGCUUCUCACUGAACAAUGGUUUAACUGGAAGCUGUGGACAAGAGGCUCCGGGACCAGCAAGCAGGAUUCAGGAAAGAUCGUUCAUGCACAGGCCACAUAGCAACACUACGCAUCAUCAUUGAACAGUCUAUUGAAUGGAACACAUCCCUGCACAUGAACUUCAUUGAUUUUGAAAAAGUUUUUGACACACACAACACACAGGCUGCAAACAUUCAUCAACACCUGCCUCAGAAGGAUAUUAAACAUCUGGUGGAAAGACAAAGUCAACAAUGUGGACCUGUGGAAAAGAACAAGCCAAGACCCCAUCCACAAAGAGAAAGUGGAGUUGGAUUGGCCACACCCUCAGAAAACCUGCCACAAACAUCACCCAACAAGCCCUGAAAUGGAAAGCCCCAGGGGAAAAGGAAAAGAGGUCGCCCCAGGAACAGCUGGAGAAGAAGUGUAGAGUCAGAGAGUGGACUCAACUGGGGAGAGCUUGAGCGAAAAGCCACAAACAGAGUGAAAUGGAGGAUAUUCGUCAGCGGCAUAUGCACCCAAGAGGAGCAAAAGGCUUAAGUCAAGUUAAAUCAAGUGAUUAAUCUGUUAAAUUGACAUGGAUGAAAGUUUACUGAAGAAGAAUCUAAUAAGCGUUGUCCUCUUCAAUAAUAUUUUAAGAGGCAGUAACUCGUGGAUAUACAAAUGGCAGGGUUUGUCCACAGGGGGCGCCAAAAUCCACUCACGAUAAAAGAUUCUGAAAGUUGCUUUGGAUUAAAUACAUUUUGUUUCAUAAUAAAUUUGCUGAAAAAUUG